GCAAAAUGAGCAUUUACAAUAUUACAUCAUAUUAGCUCAGGAAGCCAAGAUAGUCAUAUUGCGUGAAAAAUGCUCAUUCUCUCUCACCCACAAAAGCAAGCCUUCAUGUUCUUUAGUUAAAAAAUAUAAAUUGUUAUCAUGCAAGUAAUUUUUGUAAAAGAAAAAAGUUUCAAAUAAAGGUAAGCACACAAAAAUUUACCCAAUUUCUGUGAAUACCUUGUUCUUUUAUCCUUUAUUCCUUGUCCUCUUCUUUUCUUUCUACCUACCUAAAGUGGUAUUAAGUAUGUAAUUAUAGUACACAUAAUUUUUGCAACCUGCUUUUUCACUUCAAGAUAUAUUUUAAAAUCUUUUCAUCUCAAUAAAUAGCUCUCUAAAGCAUCAUUUUAAUGACUAGUUAGAUACAUUAUGUUACAGCCUUCUAACUUUUGAAGCACUUUUUAAAUGAUUACAUGCUAGACAU
rnacentral:lncRNA from 1 species